rnacentral:tRNA from 1 species
GGCUAUGUAGCUCAGUUGGUUAGAGCAUAGCAUUCAUAAUGCUGGAGUCGGUGGUUCGAACCCACCCAUAGCCA